UUCAAAUUGAUGAUAUUCAUAAAUUGACACUUUUAUCUGGUCUAUUGUCGAUCGAUAUGUUUCAUCAUCUCUCGGAUGUUCUUGUUAGUGGACGUAUGUUUGAAGC
rnacentral:snoRNA from 1 species